AUUGAACGCUGGCGGCAUGCUUUACACAUGCAAGUCGAGCGGCAGCGCGGGGGCAACCCUGGCGGCGAGCGGCGAACGGGUGAGUAAUGCAUCGGAACGUAUCCUCGAGUGGGGGAUAACCCAGCGAAAGUUGGGCUAAUACCGCAUGAGCUCUGAGGAGGAAAGCGGGGGACCUGCGAGGGCCUCGCGCUCGAGGAGCGGCCGAUGUCCGAUUAGCUAGUUGGUGGGGUAAAGGCUUACCAAGGCGACGAUCGGUAGCUGGUCUGAGAGGAUGAUCAGCCACACUGGGACUGAGACACGGCCCAGACUCCUACGGGAGGCAGCAGUGGGGAAUUUUGGACAAUGGGGGCAACCCUGAUCCAGCCAUGCCGCGUGAGUGAAGAAGGCCUUCGGGUUGUAAAGCUCUUUCGGACGGAACGAAAUGGGCGGGACUAAUACUCCUGUCUGAUGACGGUACCGUAAGAAGAAGCACCGGCUAACUACGUG
rnacentral:rRNA from 1 species